rnacentral:rRNA from 1 species
UACGUAGGGUGCAAGCGUUGUCCGGAAUUAGUGGGCGUAAAGAGCUCGUAGGCGGUCUGUCGCGUCUGCUGUGAAAACUCGGGGCUUAACCCCGGGCCUGCAGUGGGUACGGGCAGACUAGAGUGCGGUAGGGGAGACUGGAAUUCCUGGUGUAGCGGUGAAAUGCGGCAGAUAUCAGGAGGAACACCGAUGGCGAAGGCAGGUCUCUGGGCAUUAAACUGACGCU